rnacentral:lncRNA from 1 species
GCGGGCUGUCCGGCCCGCAGGGCGGUCGAGGUGGGAACGGAGCAGCCCCGGGGGCCCCCUUGAGGCGGCGAGGCCGCGAAGGGCGCGGGGCUGGAGGCCCGCGGCGCCAUGGCUCACGUCGGCUCCCGCAAGCGCUCGAGGAGUCGCAGCCGGUCCCGGGGACGGGGGUCGGAAAAGAGAAAGAAGAAGAGCAGGAAAGACACCUCGAGGAACUGCUCGGCCUCCACAUCCCAAGCAAGCCACCCGAGGGGACUGCCUGGCCUUCCAGAUGCGAGCUGGGUUGCUUCCCUGAGGGCCCCCGCUGGCCAAGGCCUGUGGACGACGCUGGCGGCCCAGCCUGGGCAGGUUUCAGGGUGCCAGUGGGAAGCCUGAUGGGUGCUGGUGGCCUUUCCCCCGUGGAUUGGUCUCUGGCCCAGCCCAGUCUCUUCUCAGGGGCAGGGGGUGGAGGUUGGGGUCACCGGCCUGCUUGGCACCCCCAUCUGAAAGAGCAGCACUUCUCAGCUAUUAAAGGCCCCCUGGAUAGACUUUCU